GUUGUGUGCUCCGUGGUAGAGCACUUGCCUAGCAUGUGUGAGGCACUGGGUUCAAUUCUCAGCAUCACA
rnacentral:tRNA from 1 species